UGAACGCUGGCGGCGUGCCUUACACAUGCAAGUCGGAUGUGUCGCAAGACACAUGGCAGACGGGUGAGUAACACGUGGGAAACUUACCUCUUAGUGGGGAAUAACGCUCCGAAAGGAGCGGUAAUACCGCAUGAGACCUAUCGCUGGGAUGCGAUAGAUGAAAGCUGGGGAUCGUAAGACCUAGCGCUGAGAGAGAGUCCUGCGUCUGAUUAGUUAGUUGGUGAGAUAACGGCUCACCAAGACUUCGAUCAGUAGCCGGCCUGAGAGGGCGAUCGGCCACACUGGAACUGAGACACGGUCCAGACUCCUACGGGAGGCAGCAGUGGGGAAUCUUGCGCAAUGGGCGAAAGCCUGACGCAGCAACGCCGCGUGGGUGAUGAAGGUCUUCGGAUUGUAAAACCCUGUCGUUAGGGACGAAGGCAUGAAUCCUAAUACGGUUCAUGUUUGACGGUACCUAGAAAGGAAGCCCCGGCUA
rnacentral:rRNA from 1 species